rnacentral:rRNA from 1 species
GAUGAACGCUGGCGGCGUGCCUAACACAUGCAAGUCGAACGAAGCAUUUUGAAUGAAGUUUUCGGAUGGAUUUUGAGAUGACUGAGUGGCGGACGGGUGAGUAACACGUGGAUAACCUGCCUCACACUGGGGGACAACAGUUAGAAAUGACUGCUAAUACCGCAUGAUACUUUUGGGGGCAUCCCCGAAAAGUCAAAGCUUUAUGUGCUGAAAGAUGGUCUCGCGUCUGAUUAGCUAGUUGGUGAGGUAAUGGCUCACCAAGGCGACGAUCAGUAGCCGGUCUGAGAGGAUGAACGGCCACAUUGGGACUGAGAUACGGCCCAG